UCAACCACCUCCAAUCGUCUCCAAACGCUACAAAACGUCGUCAAAUCGCAGAAUAGGCCGUUUCUGAAGCCUAGAAGCUUAUAUGUCUAAUCA
rnacentral:lncRNA from 1 species